rnacentral:lncRNA from 1 species
UUUUGUUUUUUUGUUUUUUAAAAAUUUCAUUAUGUCCUUCUUCAUGCCUGUUCCAGAGAUGGCUAACUUUCAACUAAAAUUUCUCCUUUUUUUUUUUCCCAUAGUGAGGAAAUUUCACUGGAAGAUACUUUUUCUAGCUCCUCCUGUAUCUAACUAAGGUCGUGGGACUAGUUCCUGUUAGUGGAAUUUGAACAAAAAUGGCUUGAUUUUUAUAAAGCCUUGGACUAAAAUGAAAACAAUUGAAUUGGAAACUUUGUAUCACCCACUUCAGGGAAUAUUACAACAGCUUCUACUAUGGACUCAAGUGCAUUUAAAGGAAAUAUAUUCCCAGGAAUUCAAAGCUCAUAAAGAGAACUGA